rnacentral:rRNA from 1 species
AGUGAACGCUGGCGGUAGGCCUAACACAUGCAAGUCGAACGGCAGCACAGUAAGAGCUUGCUCUUACGGGUGGCGAGUGGCGGACGGGUGAGGAAUACAUCGGAAUCUACUUUUUCGUGGGGGAUAACGUAGGGAAACUUACGCUAAUACCGCAUACGACCUACGGGUGAAAGCAGGGGAUCUUCGGACCUUGCGCGAUUGAAUGAGCCGAUGUCGGAUUAGCUAGUUGGCGGGGUAAAGGCCCACCAAGGCGACGAUCCGUAGCUGGUCUGAGAGGAUGAUCGGCCACACUGGACUGAGACACGGUCCAGACUCCUACGGGAGGCAGCAGUGGGGAAUAUUGGACAAUGGGCGCAAGCCUGAUCCAGCCAUACCGCGUGGGUGAAGAAGGCCUUCGGGUUGUAAAGCCCUUUUGUUGGGAAAGAAAAGCAGCAGGUUAAUACCCCGCUGUUCUGACGGUACCCAAAGAAUAAGCACCGGCUAACUUCGUG